GUGUAGCCAUUGCCCCGGCGAGCUAACUCGUCAAACAUCCCCAACAGCUGGGGCACCAGAUCCGUACUUGUUCCUGGAACACGAAGAGAUGUAACUUGUGGAAUUGAGUAAGCAGAAAGUCGAAAGUAGGUAACAGUUCUGUAAGAUUCUGUCCGAGAUUGGAAGAUUACUUAAUUCUCCGAAGCAGCGAUUCUCAAUCAUCGUGUUCGCGUAUCUUCGAUGGUAUGGCAUUUUUUAAUCUUUUCAUUCGACGAUCCAUUCGCUCUUUAAUUUUCGUCUCAAUGGUGCACGAUUACGCGAAGAUUACAAAUUUCUGCUCAAAGGAUAAAAGCAAACACUCGAUAGGUAAAUUGAUCGACUCUGUUUUACGAGAAUUUGAAGUUUAGUUAUUAAUUGUUUAAUGUUGCCAUCAGAAUGCGUUAUUUAUUACUUAAUUCUUCAUAAAUUGUGCAAUUAAACUUGGCGGAAUUGAUCAACUUAGCUUCUGCGUGACUCCAAUGUUUAUUCGUAGAAAUAUGUGUAUUUAAUUUUCUAGGGUUCCCUAGAUGAAUAGGAUUCCCUAGAGUUUCAUUAAAAUCAGUGUUAGCUAAGAUUACAGAGAGUGUAACACCGCAAGAGGAUCGAAAAGAAACAUCGAACGCUGUUUCCUUAAAAAAUCUUUGCCAAUACAAUUUUUGAUUUUCCUGCUAAUAUUUCAUCAAUUUUUGUUCUUACACUCGCAUAAAAUUCAGAUUGAAGAAUUACACCUAAUUUCGACACACAUUCCCCCCCAAAAUAUAGAGAGAGUUUCAGAAGAUACUUCGAUGUUUAUCGAUAUUGCCAAAUAUUAUUACCAACUAAAUAUUGUUAUUAUCAUUUCAAAAUAUGAUUUACCCUA